GCGCCAGCUGCGCGAGCAAGCGGAUCACACGUGACAUUCGCGUUGGAAAUGGGAUCGCGUCGCAGCAAUCACGUAGAUUACGGUGGCCCCACAAAGAGCUGCACGCAGAUCAACGCCGUGUCGGGUGUGCUUUUCAACGUGACUGGAUGUUCCCUACCAUGAAGCUGAAAGCCAUUCUGCUUGCCGCGGCCGUCGUCGGCCUAUGGACGCCAGCAAAUACAGCCGGGUCGGUGGAAUCGAUGAAGGAGCCGCAAGCGAGAGGAAGUUCAGAAGAAGCUGACACCUCCGGUGGACUGCCGCCUCAGAGCAUUGACGGAAGAAUUGCUGAAAUUUGUAUUCACGAGAUAUGCGGGUAGUCAUCAGUUGGGACCCCACAAUGCUGGUCCAGGAAGUGUGGCGCUCUUGGCACUUUCCGUGACAGCAUUCGAUAAAUGAGAAAAAUAAACCUUUUAUUGGAAACAUCCAGUA